UACGUAGGGGGCUAGCGUUGCUCGGAAUCACUGGGCGUAAAGCGCACGUAGGCGGACUCUUAAGUCAGGGGUGAAAUCCUGGAGCUCAACUCCAGAACUGCCUUUGAUACUGGGAGUCUUGAGUUCGGGAGAGGUGAGUGGAACUGCGAGUGUAGAGGUGAAAUUCGUAGAUAUUCGCAAGAACACCAGUGGCGAAGGCGGCUCACUGGCCCGAUACUGACGCUGAGGUGCGAAAGCGUGGGGAGCAAACAGG
rnacentral:rRNA from 1 species